CUUGAUCGACCCCAGCCAUAGCGGCUCGGACCGAUCUUGACCGUACGUCGCCAACAACGCCUGGGCCUC
rnacentral:antisense_RNA from 1 species